rnacentral:rRNA from 1 species
UGGGGAAUAUUGGACAAUGGGGGCAACCCUGAUCCAGCAAUUCUGUGUGCACGAAGAAGGUUUUCGGAUUGUAAAGUGCUUUCAGCAGGGAAGAAAAAAAUGACGGUACCUGCAGAAGAAGCGACGGCUAAAUACGUGCCAGCAGCCGCGGUAAUACGUAUGUCGCAAGCGUUAUCCGGAAUUAUUGGGCAUAAAGGGCAUCUAGGCGGCCAGAUAAGUCUGGGGUGAAAACUUGCGGCUCAACCGCAAGCCUGCCCUGGAAACUAUGUGGCUAGAGUACUGGAGAGGUGGACGGAACUGCACGAGUAAAGGUGAAAUUCGUAGAUAUGUGCAGGAAUGCCGAUGAUGAAGAUAGUUCACUGGACGGUAACUGACGCUGAAGUGCGAAAGCUAGGGGAGCAAACAGGAUUAGAUACCCUGGUAGUCCUAGCUGUAAACGAUGAUUACUGGGUGUGGGCAUGAAGAGUGUCCGUGCCGAAGCUAAUGCGAUAAGUAAUCCGCCUGGGGAGUACGGCCGCAAGGCUG